rnacentral:tRNA from 1 species
GGGCCGGUAGUCUAGCGGAAGGACGCCCAGGGCCAAGCCCGCGUACGCCUCGCGCGCGGGAGAUCCCGGGUUCAAAUCCCGGCCGGUCCA